CCGUUUUAAAUUCAUCCAGUGCACGAUAUGCGCAUUGGUGCUUCAACAGCACGAAAAAUAAUAAAUGAAAUUUGCAUCGCUCUAUGGGAAAUACUUUCUCCUAUUUAUUUAAUGACUAACUCAACUCCAGAAAAACGGCGACAAAUUUCUUUACACUUUGAAGAGAUAUGAAAUUAUUCAAAUGUUUGUGGCAGCCUGUAUUCAACAGCUAUAUUAUGGAGAAUCGGCUUAUUACAAUUAUAAAAAUUAUAAUUCAAUAGUACUACCAGAGGUUGUUGAUGCGGAGGGUAAUAUUUUAAUCGUAGACGUAAGAGAAGCGGGAAGAACAGUGAUGGAGGUGUAUUUGCUGCUUCAAAUUUCGGAAAAAAUUUUAUCAAGCAAACGUUGAACUUGUCACAUCCACGAAAAGUAGAUCCCU